rnacentral:rRNA from 1 species
GAAUCCGCYAAGGAGUGUGUAACAACUCACCUGCCGAAUGAAUUAGCCCUGAAAAUGGAUGGCGCUGAAGCGGGCGGCCGACACCAUGCCGUCUGGAAAAACAAUUGGAGUGUUCAGAUGAGUAGGAGGGCGUGGGGGCCGUGUCGAAGCAUGCGUGCAGACGUGUGUGGAACGGCCUCUAGUGCAGAUCUUGGUGGUAGUAGCAAGUAUUCAAGCGAGAUCCUUGAAGGGCGAAGCGGGGAAGGGUUCCACGCGAACAUUGAUUGGGCGUGGGUGAGUCGUUCCUAAGCCGAGUGGCGAUUGCUAAGUAGCGGCGAAAGGGAAGCGGGUUGACAUUCCCGCACACGGAUGUGGAGGCGGCGACGCACUACUGGGGCGAACACGCUGGCGAUGGCGCUGGGCAGAGUUGUCUUUUCUGUUUGACCGUUCUGCGCGCGCGGUGUGGAAUCCGCUUGUCGGGAGAAACACGCGUGUGCGGGCAGAGCGCCGGGGCUUUUCCGGCGUCCAGCUCGCCAUCGACGGCCCUUGAAACUUUGCCUGCUGGUAUACAAUCCACGCCGUGGCGUACCGAUCACCGCAUCAGGUCCCCAAGGUGAACAGCCUCUGCUCGAUAUGAAAAAUGCAGGUAAGGGAAGUCGGCA